AAAAGUAACAUUAUAUUUUUGUAAACAAUAUAGCCCCGCGGUACACCGCGGGUUAAAUUCUAGUUGUAAUACAUAUUGUUAUUAAUUCAAUCAUUAUAAUUAUGACUACUAAUUUAUUUAUUAGUUGGUUUAUUUAAGAAAAAUAGUAAACUGAUUUAAUAUAGAUAUUUGAAGCACAUAAUCAUGUCAAAUAAAUAUUAUUUGAUAUAUAACUAUGUAUUUAUUUUAUUUUAUUAUGAAGGUUAAAAAAUAUAAUAUUUUGCCUCAUAUAUUAACUAUAUCAUAAUUAUCGAAUAACCGUAUCCAUAUUUAACUAUAAUCAUAUUUAACCGUAACUGUAUUUAACCGUAACCGUAUUUAACCGUAUCCGUUUUAACCGUAUAUAUAAUAGUUAAAGUUAAGAUUAAAGAAAAUCUAUAACCAUAACUGGUGGUUAAAAAACCGUAACCGUAAUAACCGCAACCGUGGUCAUACCUACUAACAACAAACAAAUUAAAAAAAAAGUUUAUCCCGUGAAGAGAGAAACGGGCGGAAAAAGAUAAAUGCCCAAAAAGAAAAUAAGUAGAAGAAUUUUAACUUUUAACCAAAAGAAAAAAAUCGCCUCGGAAAUGGUGAGAAGUAUAGUAGUUUUCCGUCUUAAUAGUAAAAAAUUCAAAAACUAAUAGGUGCACACAUAAGGUCAAUCAAAUAAUUAGGAUCCCAAAUCCGAGGUACACAAGGCUAAGACAUAAACGUAAUUCAAUAAGAAUUGAAAGGAUACAUCCACAUUUAUUACAUGAAUUGGGGCUGUUGUAAGGCCUGGAUCCCACACCUAGGAUGUAUUACGCAGAAGAGACAAACAUGUGACCUUUACGUCAUACAAAUAAGAGGGGAAGAAGUCCGGAGAAGCGCAACGUUGCGCCGAAGUGAUCAAGCCAUGCGAGCCACAAGCAAGUCCAAGAGGAAAAAACCAACGAAAGAGUUUGUUUGAAUUCAAACCAAGACUUUGUGACAUUGAAGACACAAUCGAAACAGAAGCAUUUAAUGUUAAUUAUGGGAUUAAUUAGCAAUAUUUAAUCACUAUUAUGUAUAAAUAUAGGACCUCAUAGCUUUGUAAAGGAGAUUAUUUUCUGUGAUGUCCUGUUGAGGCAUUAUGCAGAAUUUUCAAUAACUUGGAUAUUAUUAUUUACUAAAGUCAAACGUAGUUUCACUUAGGAUAUCUAACUUUUAUCUUUUAAUGCAUUUUCCUCUGUUUUCCCAUGUCUUAUGUCCUGUUGAGGCAUCAUCAAAUGUAUUGAAAAGGGAAUGCCAUUAUAGUCUCCAUGUCUUCUUCUAUAGGCAACAAUAAGAAGGAAAGAGACUUUGGAUCAUACAAUACUACAUCCUCAAACAUUAUCAAAGGCAUAAUAGAUUACGUAUAUUAUAUGCUAGGGUGCUGGUACAAUCUUCACAUUGAUCAGAAUGAGUAUAAUGUUUAUUAGAGUCUAUGCCCAUCACUUUAGAUUGGUUAAUGGCUUACUAUGGAGUAGAUUUCACUAGAAUCAUUGAGAAAUUGGUUCCCAAU
rnacentral:sRNA from 1 species